UACGUAGGGUGCGAGCGUUGUCCGGAAUUAUUGGGCGUAAAGGGCUCGUAGGCGGUUUGUCGCGUCGGGAGUGAAAACUCAGGGCUUAACCCUGAGCCUGCUUCCGAUACGGGCAGACUAGAGGUAUGCAGGGGAGAACGGAAUUCCUGGUGUAGCGGUGGAAUGCGCAGGAUAUCAGGAGAACACCGGUGGCGAAGGCGGUUCUCUGGGCAGUUGACCUGACGCUGAGGAGCGAAAGCAUGGGGAGCGAACAGGA
rnacentral:rRNA from 1 species